AGAGGCAUUCAAAAGAUCCAAGUUAUGCAAAGCUGGAAUCUUGGGACAAAGGAAACCUAUAUAUCCUCACUAGUCAUUUGUACUAUCCCUUGUUUCCUGUUUACUCUUUUGUGAGGUCACUCCACAUUCCUGGCCUCUAGGCAAUGCUUUCUAUCAUUGCUGCUUCCAAUAAAACUGUUUACAGCCAUUGUAAUUUGUGGCCUUUUACCUGGAUGUAGUCAGGGCACACUAAUCUUCCAAUCUGUCCCCUCUGCUUCUCCCUGGUUCUGCAAAUAGCAUUUUCCUAGAUAUAACCACCCUUUCCAGCAACAACAAUGAAAAUAUCAUUAAAGUUUUACCACUGGUUUAUUCUCUACAUAAUAAAUGGAUACUU